rnacentral:rRNA from 1 species
GACAGAGGGUGCAAACGUUGCUCGGAAUUACUGGGCGUAAAGCGCGUGUAGGCGGAUCGGUAUGUCGGAUGUGAAAUCCCUGGGCUCAACCCAGGAACUGCAUUUGAAACUGCCGGUCUCGAGUGGUGGAGAGGGAAGUGGAAUUCCUGGUGUAGAGGUGAAAUUCGUAGAUAUCAGGAGGAACACCAGUGGCGAAGGCGGCUUCCUGGACACCAACUGACGCUGAGACGCGAAAGCGUGGGGAGCAAACAGG